rnacentral:rRNA from 1 species
AGGAGAGUUUGAUCCUGGCUCAGGAUGAACGCUGGCGGCGUGCCUAAUACAUGCAAGUCGAACGAGGGUGCUUGCACCCUAGUGGCGAACGGGUGAGUAACACGUAGGUAACCUGCCUCACAGUUUGGGAUACCCAGAGGAAACUUUGGCUAAUACCGGAUAAUUGGUUGGAAGGCAUCUUCCGACUCUAAAAGGGGCCUUUAAAGCCUCGCUGAGAGAUGGACCUGCGGCGCAUUAGCUAGUUGGUGAGAUAACAGCCCACCAAGGCGAGGAUGCGUAGCCGACCUGAGAGGGUGAACGGCCACACUGGAACUGAGACACGGUCCAGACUCCUACGGGAGGCAGCAGUAGGGAGUUUUCGGCAAUGGGGGAAACCCUGACCGAGCAACGCCGCGUGAGUGAUGAAGGUCUUCGGAUUGUAAAGCUCUGUUGUAGGGGAAGAACGAUAUGAUGAGGAAAUGCUUCAUAUUUGACGGUACCUUAUUAGAAAGCCACGGCUAACUACGUGCCAGCAGCCGCGGUAAUACGUAGGUGGCAAGCGUUAUCCGGAAUUAUUGGGCGUAAAGAGUGAGCAGGCGGCAUGAUAAGUUUGAAGUGAAAGCGUGAGGCUCAACCUCAUACAGCUUCGAAAACUGUCAAGCUAGAGUGCGAGAGGGGUAAACGGAAUUCCAUGUGUAGCGGUGAAAUGCGUAGAUAUAUGGAGGAACACCAGUGGCGAAGGCGGUUUACUAGCUCGAUACUGACGCUCAGUCACGAAAGCGUGGGGAGCAAAUAGGAUUAGAUACCCUGGUAGUCCCCU